rnacentral:rRNA from 1 species
UACGAAGGGGGCUAGCGUUGUUCGGAAUCACUGGGCGUAAAGCGCACGUAGGCGGAUGUGUCAGUCAGGGGUGAAAUCCCGGAGCUCAACUUCGGAACUGCCUUUGAUACAGCACGUCUUGAGUCCGAUAGAGGUGGGUGGAAUUCCUAGUGUAGAGGUGAAAUUCGUAGAUAUUAGGAAGAACACCGGUGGCGAAGGCGGCCCACUGGAUCGGUACUGACGCUGAGGUGCGAAAGCGUGGGGAGCAAACAGG